CCCUCCCUUUUUCUAUGCUGCUCACUACAUUCUUCUAGAGAUGUGGCUGGUUCCUUUUCCCCACCUGACUUAGAAUCAUUUUACAUUAGGCCUUCCUUUGGUGCGGUCCAUGCCCUGAGCACAUCCCAUUGGAUCUUUUCGUCGCCCCCAUGAGAAGGACGUACUUUUAAAUUCAUGUGUUCAAGGUUACAUUGAUGAAGGUUAUAACAUGGGGAUGUAAAUUAUUUUCAAGCUACAGGAAUAAACAGUCUUUUGUUCUAAUCUUGUCGACACACCAGCAGGGGUCAGCUCCAAGACGGAUAAACAUAGUGUUUCUUCCUGCCACGUGACAAUAGAAGGGGCGCCCCCUCUAAACCAUAGGAAAGCAGUCAGACAUGAUUUAAUCAACUUGUGGAGCUUAGAAAUCAGUAAGAAAGAGAAGGAUAUUGAUUGGGUCUAACAGUAUUGAAACAAUUAUUCUCCCUAACCCAGCUGCAGCGUAUAUUGUGAGCACAUUCAAACAUAAAAGUACAUUGACAUCAAAGAUCAGCAUUGUUUUAAAACUUUUAACACAAAGCUCUACACUCUAUAGCCAAAGGUAGAAAAUCCA